CCCGAACCUGAAUAUCUGUUGAGAAAAUUUAAUACGGAUCUGGCUUCUGAGAU
rnacentral:snoRNA from 1 species